GGGGGACCUUCGGGCCUCGCACUAUUAGAGCGGCCGAUAUCGGAUUAGCUAGUUGGUGGGGUAACGGCUCACCAAGGCGACGAUCCGUGGUCCAGCUGGUUUGAGAGGACGACCAGCCACACUGGGACUGAGACACGGCCCAGACUACGGGAGGCAGCAGUGGGGAAUUUUUUUGGACAAUGGGGAAACCCUGAUCCAGCCAUCCCGCGUGUGCGAUGAAGGCCUUCAAGCAAAGCACUUUUGGCAGGAAAAGAAACGGCACGGAUAAUACUCCGUGCAACUGACGGUACCUGCAGAAUAAGCACGGCUAACUACGUGCCAGCAGCCGCGGUAAUACGUAGGGUGCAAGCGUUAAUCGGAAUUACUGGGCGUAGCGUGCGCAAGGCGGUUCGGAAAGAAAGAUGUGAAAUCCCAGAGCUUAACUUUGGAACUGCAUUUUUAACUACCGAGCUAGAGUGUGUCAGAGGAGGUGGAAUUCCGCGUAGCAGUGAAAUGCAGAUAUGCGGAGGAGCACCGAUGGCGAAGAAGGCAGUCUUGGGAUAACACUGACGCUCAUGCACGAAAGCGUGGGGAGCAAACAGGAUUAGAUACCCUGGUAGUCCACGCCCUAAACGAUGUCAACUAGCUGUUGGGGCCUCGGGCCUUGGUAGCGCAUGCUAACGUGAAGUUGACCGCCUGGGGAGUACGGUCGCAAGAUUAAAACUCAAAGGAAUUGGACGGGACCCGCACAAGGCGGUGGAUGAUGUGGAUUAAUUCGAUGCAACGCGAAAAACCUUACCUACCCUGACAUGUCUGGAAUCCCGAAGAGAUUUGGGGAGUGCUCGCAAGAGAACCGGAACACAGGUGCUGCAUGGCUGUCGUCAGCUCGUGUCGUGAGAUGUUGGGUUAAGUCCCGCAACGAGCGCAACCCUUGUCAUUAGUUGCUACGAAAGGGCACUCUAAUGAGACUGCCGGUGACAAACCGGAGGAAGGUGGGGAUGACGUCAAGUCCUCAUGGCCUCUUGCGGUAGGGCUUCACACGUCAUACAAUGGUCGGGACAGAGGGUCGCCAACCCGCGAGGGGGAGCCAAUCCCAGAAACCCGAUCGCAGUCCGGAUCGCAGUCUGCAACUCGACUGCGUGAAGUCGGAAUCGCUAGUAAUCGCGGAUCAGCAUGUCGCGGUGAAUACGUUCCCGGGGUCUUGUACACACCGCCCGUCACACCAUGGGAGUGGGUUUUACCAGAAGUAGUUAGCCUGCAACUGCAAGGAGGGCGAUUACCACGGUAGGAUUCAUGACUGGGGUGAAGUCGUAACAAGGUAA
rnacentral:rRNA from 1 species